AAACCAGCACCUCAAGUGGUCAGGAGGAUUAUUGGGCCUAAAGCAUCCGUAGCCUGUUCUAUAAGUUUUCGGUUAAAUCCACUAGCUCAACUAGUGGGCUGCCGAAAAUACUGUAGAACUAGGGAGUGGGAGAGGUAGACGGUAUUCGGUAGGAAGGGGUAAAAUCCUUUGAUCUAUUGAGGACCACCUGUGGCGAAGGCGGUCUACCAGAACACGUUCGACGGUGAGGGAUGAAAGCUGGGGGAGCAAACCGGAUUAGAUACCCCAGUAGUCC
rnacentral:rRNA from 1 species